UUCACAUACCUUGCUCCUGACGGUUUUUUUUUUAAAGAUCUGUGUUCGAUAUUCGGGAAUAGACACACAAGGAGCCCCUAAAGUAAAACCAAGCUUUUCACCUUAAAUAAAGGUGAUAACCAUCAGGAAUAGACAACAAAAUAGCUUCCAAAGGAGCAGAGUCAUCAGCACUAUGCAUUUUUCCCCCUUUCAUAUGUCUUCAGGCCAUUAGCGGUAUCUGAGGAAGAGCCACCAGCUAAUUGGAACGAAGAUAAAGAAAAUAACAUGAUGCUGACAAUGUUUUAGUGAUGAUAAUAUGAAAUUAUAUAUAAAUGGCAUUUACAACUUUCACUUAAACAUGGAAACAAAUAAAUGUUUGACCUGGGAGGAGAGUACCUUGUAGUAACUGACAUAAAAAAUAGCUGAAAACAUAGAUGCUGAUAAAGAUGGGAGAGCAAAUACUGGAGCCGCU
rnacentral:lncRNA from 1 species